GGAUUAGAUACCCUGGUAGUCCACGCCGUAAACGAUGAGUACUAGCCCUUGGAGGUAUUGACCCCUUCGGGAGCGCAGCUAACGCAUUAAGUACUCCGCCUGGGAAGUACGGCCGCAAGGCUAAAACUCAAAGGAAUUGACGGGGGCCCGCACAAGCGGUGGAUUAUGUGGUUUAAUUCGAAGCAACGCGCAAAACCUUACCUGGGCUUGAACUCCUGAGAAUCCGGAGUAAUGUUCGGAGUGCCCGCAAGGGAAUUCAGUGAGAGGUGCUGCAUGGCUGUCGUCAGCUCGUGCUG
rnacentral:rRNA from 1 species